rnacentral:lncRNA from 1 species
UAAUUGAAAGUAUCUUCAAAGAACCAGAGAUAUGCCUGAGGCAUCAGUUUGCUGCAAAUAACGUUUUAUAUAGAUUGAUGGUAGGUAGCUGUGUAUUCUGUGUGCGUGCACAGGUAUGUAACUGAUACAACUUAGAUUUCAUUUUAGAAAUGCAAUUUCAGAAGCAAAUCUGGCUUUAAGUACUUUGCCAGAAUUAACUCCCUAGAAUGUAUACAGCAAGUACUCACAAGGCAAGGUUUGCAACUAUGAAAAUGAAUAUUAUCAUGAUACAUACUAACUUUUAAUGUACU